rnacentral:tRNA from 1 species
ACUUAUAUAAUUUAAGUAUUAAGAAUUUUGCAUUGAAGCUGCAAGUGUGACGGUUUCGUCUGUAAGUG